UUAACAAAAAAUUAAGAACUGCAGUUAAUCUUUCAGUUUUCAACCAAACAGUUUGUCUAAUGGCCGAUUUCCUUACAAAUUAGGGGGAGGGAAGGACUAGGUAAACAAGCAGGUUACAAGAAUAUACUUCCUCUUUUUUUGGGAUGGAGUCUCGCUCUGUUGCCCAGGCUGGAUUGCAGUGGGGGCAAUCUCGGCUCACUGCAGCCUCUGCCUCCCAGGUUCAAGCAAUUCUCCUGCCUCAGCCUCCUGAGUAGCUGGGAUUAUAGGCGAGCGCCACCACGCCCAGCUAAUUUUUGUAUUUUUAUUUUUAUUUUAAUUAUUUAUUUAUUUGUGAGACGGAGUCUCACUCUGUUGCCCAGCCUGGGCAACAGAGCAAGACUCCGUCUCAAAAAUAAAUAAAU
rnacentral:lncRNA from 1 species